rnacentral:lncRNA from 1 species
GUUUUAGUGUUUUUCAGUAUUAGGGAAAGGUAAUAUAAAAACAGGUAAAAUGUAUAAAAAUAGACCUGAUCAACAUCAUAGGAGAUAAAUAUUCAUUAUAUAGCAUAGGAUAUUAUUACUUGAAUGUUCUCAGGGAGGCAGCAAGUCAGAAGGCCUAGGUUCUAGUCCUAGCUCCAUCAUUUACCAACUGUGUGACCUUACUUCACCUCUUAGCCUUGUUCUCCUCACUAGCAGUAGGAAAGUAACACCUACCCUGCCUACCUCACAGGGCUGUUGUGAGGGUUCAAUUGGUAUAUGUGAAAAUUCUUUCAGAAUUGUAAAAUGCUAUAUGACUGUAAGGAAUUAUUGCAUUUGUUCCAAGGUUAAUAAAAAUUUGAGCUU